rfam:Halothermothrix orenii H 168, complete genome.
GGGGGUGUUCCGGGUUUCGCCUGCAUGGUGAAUCCUUCAGGAGCGAGCCGUGGUUGGUCUUUCACACGUAAAACACUGACCAUUUAAAAUUACUUGCAGACAAUAACAAUUACGCUUUAGCUGCUGCUUAAACAAAGCAGCUACGCUUAUCCGGUUUUUGCCUGCGGAAUCGGGUAAGUGUCAUAAACAGUGGGCUACCUGCUACCUGAUGCCUGUAGGGUAGUAGGGAACAUUACAGGCUGAUAGUCUGGGACCCUGUCUGUGGGGGAUCAGGCUAUGAGAUUAAAACACAGACUACGCUCGUAGGUGCCUGAAGGGUGACCCAUGUAGUACGUGGGUUCGAAUCCCACCACCUCCACCA